UACGUAGGUGACAAGCGUUGUCCGGAAUUAUUGGGCGUAAAGGGAGCGCAGGCGGUUGGAAUAGUCUGAUGUGAAAGCCCACGGCUUAACCGUGGAAGGUCAUUGGAAACUGUCCAACUUGAAUGCAGAAGAGGUAAGUGGAAUUCCAUGUGUAGCGGUGAAAUGCGUAGAUAUAUGGAGGAACACCAGUGGCGAAGGCGACUUACUGGUCUGUGAUUGACGCUGAGGCUCGAAAGCGUGGGUAGCGAACAGGAUUAGAUA
rnacentral:rRNA from 1 species